rnacentral:misc_RNA from 1 species
GAUGAAGAACGUAGCGAAAUGCGAUAAGUAAUGUGAAUUGCAGAAUUCAGUGAAUCAUCGAAUCUUUGAACGCACAUUGCGCCCCCUGGUAUUCCGGGGGGGCAUGCCUGUUCGAGCGUCAUUUCAACCCUCAAGCUCUGCUUGGUAUUGAGUCCAUGUCAGCAAUGGCAGGCUCCAAAAUCAGUGGCGGCGCCGCUGGGUCCUGAACGUAGUAAUAUCUCUCGUUACAGGUGCUCGGCGUGCUUCUGCCAAAACCCCAAUUUUUCUAUGGUUGACCUCGGAUCAGGUAGGGAUACCCGCUGAACUUAAGCAUAUCAAUAAGCGGAGGA